UUAGAGCCAACCUUUAGAGACAUACAAUCUGUCAUGCAAUGAUAGGAACAAGUAACAUGGGUGACCUUGACCUCCUAUUUCGUACAGACUUCACAUAAAACUUGCAAGACAAUCCAUUGUGAAGAGCGCCUAAAGUGUGUCCUACAGGCUACAACAACUCCUCAUCUGAACCCAACUUGUUGCAUUUUAUCCAGGUCUGUUGUCUAUACCGUGCUGCAAUCAUAUAGUUCUACAGGGGUGAAGACAAUAUUCAGCUUGACAGCUCACGAAAUUUCUGGUAUGUGCUGCUAUAUAUAUAUAUAUAUGGAUACCAUUACAAAUAAGUCUGUUUUUAGUCCACAUUUCUGGUCGUAUGUUUGUUCUGUUCUCUGCACAAUUUUUACUAUUCAUUAUUAUAUUGGGGAGAUAAGAUGUGAGGUCAAAGUCUGAAAGCUAUCCAAACUAGAAGAAAGUUCAAUGAAGGCUUCUUCUGCACAUGGGACUGUGAGACUACCCCUUGGAUGAUUCAAAGCCAAACUCCUCUUCAGUCUACUUUAUCAGUUCUUGAAAUGAAGGGUGCUUUAAGAAUGAAACAGGAAUUAUAAACCAGCCUCUUUUGGGAUUCACCUACACAAACAACAAGAUGGCCUUUGGUUAUUUAUGCAGCUGCUGUCACCUUUUGGAUAGUAAUAUGCUUAGUGUGAACAUAUUUGAUGUUACCUUUUGGAUAAAAAAUCUGCCAUUUGAUGUUACAUUCAGUCAUUUGUAUACUUGUCUCCAUAUACAUGAUUGGAGUUUAGACUACUAGAAAAUUUUCUUGAAUUUGAGCAAUAUCGAUUAACCAUAUUUCAUAGAACCAAGUAAGUAAAAAGAAUGAUGUGGGAAAGACGUCCAUAUUAGGCAAGUUUACUUUCUGAUAAAACUAAUCAGCAUGUAUUAUGAACUUAUCUCUCUUUUACUUUUCUCUUUUUUCCUUUAAAAUCUUUUGUCCUUAGGUUCGUUUUAUUAAUCACUUAGUCCCCUGCCUCAAAUCUUUAUAUAUCUUAAUUCUUGGGCAAAUCUACAUUAAGAAAAUUACUUUGAAAAUUAUAACACGAAAUUGAUUGUUUAAUAAGCUAC
rnacentral:lncRNA from 1 species